ensembl:misc_RNA Metazoa_SRP Metazoan signal recognition particle RNA
GCCGGGCGUGGUGGUGCGCACCUGUAAUCCCAGCUACUCGGAGGCUGAGGCAGAAGAAUCACUUGAACCCGGGAGACAGAGGUUGCAGUGAGCCGAAAUUGGGCCACUGCACUCCAGCCUGGGCAACAGAGCGAGACUCCGCCUCAA